GUGGCAGUAAAGGCACCCUGCCUGUGGAUCCCUCAACAACCAAGCUGCACAGGGAAACAGAAAGAAGCAAAAGCCCAUCAGGUUGGAAAUCACAAUCAACAACUUUAAAAGACAAGUUGUCACAUGCAGAGUCCUCAGUACACAGAAGAAAAUAAAUCUAGGAAAUAGAAAGAGAAAAUGUAAGAGAAGGCUCAGUGAUUGGUCCCAUGCAUGUUUACAAACCUUUGUAGCGAGCUGUGAAUAACUGCAGAAGCUGUUUGCAAGAUUUUGCCACUAACAACAGCAGUUUUGUGGCAGCACUUCCUACAGCAGGAUUGGUGGUAGAGGAAAGCUUAUAAACAAGUUCAUCCAAAA